rnacentral:rRNA from 1 species
AGUGAACGCUGGCGGUAGGCCUAACACAUGCAAGUCGAACGGCAGCACAGUAAGAGCUUGCUCUUACGGGUGGCGAGUGGCGGACGGGUGAGGAAUACAUCGGAAUCUACUUUUUCGUGGGGGAUAACGUAGGGAAACUUACGCUAAUACCGCAUACGACCUACGGGUGAAAGCAGGGGAUCUUCGGACCUUGCGCUAUUGAAUGAGCCGAUGUCGGAUUAGCUAGUUGGCGGGGUAAAGGCCCACCAAGGCGACGAUCCGUAGCUGGUCUGAGAGGAUGAUCGGCCACACUGGAACUGAGACACGGUCCAGACUCCUACGGGAGGCAGCAGUGGGGAAUAUUGGACAAUGGGCGCAAGCCUGAUCCAGCCAUACCGCGUGGGUGAAGAAGGCCUUCGGGUUGUAAAGCCCUUUUGUUGGGAAAGAAAAGCAGCAGGUUAAUACCCCGCUGUUCCGACGGUACCCAAAGAAUAAGCACCGGCUAACUUCGUG